UCCCGAUCGGCGGUUUGCUUGCUCGUGGCAGUCAUGGCCAACCUCGCUCUAUGCCGGCUGCCUUCAGCAGUUCGGCUAAUUUCUUCCGCGCGUAAAACAGGCGCGUCUUUACUGUAUUCUCCGGGAUGCCCACGAUUUCGGCCACCUCUUCCACGGACUUCUCGUGGUAGUAGACGAGAUCGACGAUCUCCCGAUGUUCUGGCGAAAGUGCGGUCAGGCA
rnacentral:misc_RNA from 1 species